rnacentral:rRNA from 1 species
CAGUAGCCGCGGGAAUACGUAGGGUGCGAGCGUUAAUCGGAAUUACUGGGCGUAAAGCGUGCGCAGGCGGUUGUGUAAGACAGGUGUGAAAUCCCCGGGCUUAACCUGGGAACUGCGCUUGUGACUGCACAGCUAGAGUAUGGCAGAGGGGGGUGGAAUUCCACGUGUAGCAGUGAAAUGCGUAGAGAUGUGGAGGAGCACCGAUGGCGAAGGCAGCCCCCUGGGCCAAUACUGACGCUCAUGCACGAAAGCGUGGGGAGCAAACAGGAUUAGAUACCCGAGUAGUCCCUGUCUCUUAUAC